AAAAAAGGUAAGCUACUAAGAGCAAAUGGUGGAUGCCUUGGCUAGUAGAGGCGAUGAAAGACGUGCCAGGCUGCGAUAAGUCUCGGGGAGCCGUCAAGGGGCUUUGAUCCGGGAAUUUCUGAAUGGGGCAACCCAGUAUAUAGUGAUAUAUACUACCGCAAUGCGGAGCUAACGUUGGGAAUUGAAACAUCUUAGUACCAACAGGAAAAGAAAUCAAAAGAGAUUACGCUAGUAGCGGCGAGCGAACGCGUAAGAGGGCAAACCGUUAGUUUACUAACGGGGUUGUAGGACUGCAACAUAGACUUGAACUAACUAAUAGAAUAACCUGGAAAGGUUGACCAUAGAGGGUGAUAGUCCCGUAUAUGAAAGUGCGUUCAUACUUAGCAGUAUCCUGAGUAGGGCGGGACACGUGAAAUCCUGUCUGAAGCUGGGGAGACCACUCUCCAACCCUAAAUACUACUACUAGACCGAUAGUGCACAAGUACCGUGAGGGAAAGGUGAAAAGAACUGAGGUGAUCAGAGUGAAAUAGAACCUGAAACCAUUUGCUUACAAUCAUUCAGAGCACGAUUCUUUAUGACGUGUGAUGGACUGCCUUUUGCAUAAUGAGCCUGCGAGUUGUGGUGUCUGGCGAGGUUAAGGAAACCCGGAGCCGUAGCGAAAGCGAGUCUUAAUAGGGCGUAUAGUCAGAUGCUGCAGACCCGAAACGAUGUGAUCUAUCCAUGAGCAGGUUGAAACUGGUGUAAGAGCCAGCGGAGGACCGAACAGACGGCCGUUGAAAAGGCUCCUGAUGACUUGUGGAUAGGGGUGAAAGGCCAAUCAAACAUCGUGAUAGCUGGUUCUCUCCGAAAUAUAUUUAGGUAUAGCGUUGUGUCGUAAUUAUAAGGGGUAGAGCACUGAAUGGGCUAGGGCAUAUACCAAUGUACCAAACCCUAUCAAACUCCGAAUACUUAUAAUGUAAUCACAGCAGUCAGGCGGCGAGUGAUAAAAUCCGUCGUCAAGAGGGGAACAACCCAGACUAACAGCUAAGGUCCCUAAAUCUCAUUUAAGUGGAAAACGAUGUGGAGUUACUUAAACAACCAGGAGGUUGGCUUAGAAGCAGCCAUCCUUUAAAGAAAGCGUAAUAGCUCACUGGUCUAGUGAUUCUGCGCGGAAAAUAUAACGGGGCUAAAAUGAGUACCGAAGCUUUAGACUUAGUUUUUAACUAAGUGGUAGGAGAGCGUUCUAUUCAGCGUUGAAGGUAUACCGGUAAGGAGUGCUGGAGCGGAUAGAAGUGAGCAUGCAGGCAUGAGUAGCGAUAAUCUAGGUGAGAAUCCUAGACGCCGAAAACCCAAGGUUUCCUACGCGAUGCUCGUCAUCGUAGGGUUAGUCGGGUCCUAAGCAAAGUCCGAAAGGGGUAUGCGAUGGAAAAUUGGUUAAUAUUCCAAUACCAAUUAUUAUGUGCGAUGGAAGGACGCUUAAAGUUAGUGGAGCUAGCGGAUGGAAGUGCUAGUCUAAGGGUGUAGGUUGAGUUAUAGGCAAAUCCGUAACUCUUUAUCCGAGACCUAAAAGGCUCAUGACGCUCUUCGGAGUAGAUUGAGAAUCCAUGAUACUAUCGAGCCAAGAAAAGUUUCUAAGUUUAGUAAUAAUUGCCCGUACCGUAAACCGACACAGGUGGGUGGGAUGAGUAUUCUAAGGCGCGUGGAAGAACUCUCUUUAAGGAACUCUGCAAAAUAGCACCGUAUCUUCGGUAUAAGGUGUGCCUAACUUUGUAUUAAGAUUCACUCCCAAAGCAAAGAAGGUUACAACAAAGAGUCCCUCCCGACUGUUUACCAUAAACACAGCACUCUGCUAACACGUAAGUGGAUGUAUAGGGUGUGACGCCUGCCCGGUGCUCGAAGGUUAAUUGAUGAUGUUAGCUAUGCGAAGCAUUUGAUCGAAGCCCGAGUAAACGGCGGCCGUAACUAUAACGGUCCUAAGGUAGCGAAAUUCCUUGUCGGUUAAAUACCGACCUGCAUGAAUGGCGUAACGAGAUGGGAGCUGUCUCAAAGAGGGAUCCAGUGAAAUUGUAGUGGAGGUGAAAAUUCCUCCUACCCGCGGCAAGACGGAAAGACCCCGUGGACCUUUACUACAGCUUGACACUGCUACUUGGAUAAAGAUGCGCAGGAUAGGUGGGAGGCUUUGAUCCAUAGACCCUGGUUUAUGGUGAGCCAUUGUUGAGAUACCACUCUUCUUUAUUCGGGUAGCUAACUAGCCUAAGUUAUCCUUAGGUAGGACAAUGUCUGGUGGGUAGUUUGACUGGGGCGGUCGCCUCCCAAAAUGUAACGGAGGCUUACAAAGGUUGGCUCAGAACGGUUGGAAAUCGUUCGUAGAGUAUAAAGGCAUAAGCCAGCUUAACUGCGAGACAUACACGUCAAGCAGAGACGAAAGUCGGUCUUAGUGAUCCGGUGGUUCUGUGUGGAAGGGCCAUCGCUCAAAGGAUAAAAGGUACCCCGGGGAUAACAGGCUGAUCUCCCCCAAGAGCUCACAUCGACGGGGAGGUUUGGCACCUCGAUGUCGGCUCAUCGCAUCCUGGGGCUGGAGCAGGUCCCAAGGGUAUGGCUGUUCGCCAUUUAAAGCGGUACGCGAGCUGGGUUCAGAACGUCGUGAGACAGUUCGGUCCCUAUCUGCCGUGGGCGUAAGAAGAUUGAGGAGAGUUGACCCUAGUACGAGAGGACCGGGUCGAACUGGCCACUGGUGUACCAGUUGUUCUGCCAAGAGCAUCGCUGGGUAGCUAAGCCGGGAUGUGAUAAGAGCUGAAAGCAUCUAAGCUCGAAGCCAACUCCAAGAUGAAUCUUCUUUUAAGAGCUCUAGUAGACUACUAGUUUGAUAGGCUGGGUGUGUAAUGGAUGAAAGUCCUUUAGCUGACCAGUACUAAUAGCUCGUUUGCUUAUCUUUAUAUAAGCAUCACUUC
rnacentral:rRNA from 1 species